ACACUGGCAGCCACUUGUAGGGGUUGACAGUCACACAGAACAGUCCUGAGUAGGUCUGUGGGGGAGGAGAGUAUUUUUACUUCUUAAAUGAUCAUAUUCUACUCAGUAGGAACCUAUUUGUACGUUGUGUUACUCACGUAGAUCAUCCAGGCUGCAUAACGCUCUUUGAGGUUAAACAGCACAGCAGGCUCGUGCAGGAAGGUGAACAUCGCCAUGUCCUCAAUUUUAUCAAACUUUGGCGGGUUCUGGGGAUGGACGUCAACCUCCUUCACUGUUACUGUCUGAAAAAUAGAAUAGACAAAUUGUUUACAGAGUUAAAUAUCUUAAAUGGCAAAAACAACAAUCAAAUCAACCAUCUUGAAUUUUAAUCCUACAUGCAAUUUUUUGCACAAAUUUCUGUAAUGUACGUACCUUCCCAAACUCAGUUUCAGCUGUGACUUUGUCCCCAUCUCUACUGGUAAUUGAAGCCUUGACGUACUCAACCUCUGGGUCAGGCACAAAGCACUCCUUCUUCAUGUCAAAAGGACGAGUCUGGGCCUCCAGACGUUCCUUGUCUGACUUCCGCAGAAAAGAAGCUGCUGCCCCAAACUCUGCCAUCAAGGCGUCCCCCAUACUGAGAUCUGUUGGGGGAAAAAAGAUGAAUAGCAUCAAUAACUUGGAUAUAAAAACGUGUUCAUGUAGUUCACUGGUAAUGUUAGAAAUGUUCACAUCCUCCAUUCAGUUAUAAUAUAAAUCGUAUCAUGCUGCAUGUCUUCUAUUUAUAUUCCAAGAUUAGAAUAACCUGACAGUAGAAUAACCUGAUAGUAGAAUAACAUGACCAUAAUGGAGUAAACUUUGUUAACCCUGGUGUAAUCCCUCUCUAUAUUCUCACCUCAGAAAACCUUUAGGUUCUAUAAAUAAAACCUUUGCUGCUGCCUGUUUUCUAUAUUACAGAGGUUACUGAGUGUACCAAGGCUCUGUGCAGUAUAUAAUAGGUUCAUAUAAAUCAAUCAAAAUAACCUUGACUAGCAAAGGAGGGAGAGCACCCCGAUGAAGACAUAGCACCUUUAGGGGGCACUGCAAAAAACAUAGUUUGGAUACAUAUUUAUAAUAUUUGUGCUCUUACCUUAACCGCCGCUGAGUUGAGUUUGGAGAAAGGGUGUCUGCUGAGAAAAUAAUAGACAAACACCUAUAAUACACUGAACAGCUGUUUUCUAUUUGUUGAUAUUCAUCCAAGCACAGAUAACAUAACAGCUUUCCUUUUCUCUCAUACCUUUUGAUUUGUUCUGUCUUGUUCCCCUCCAGACAUGAAGGCCUCUUUAUAAAGGGGCUUGUUACCCUCUAUAAGGAAAACAAGCCAUGAAAUAAAUUAUUACUAAAUUAAAAACAUCUGUAUUUGGCUAUAGAGGAGUGUACUUCAGAUACCUAUAAGGCCUCAGUGGCUGUAGAGGAGGGGAGAGGAGCUUCGGGCAGCCGGCCAUGAUUUAACUCUUUAGUUUCUUUGGAGGAGUUUGUUGACGGCAACUAAAAUGCAGAUAUAUCUAUGAUAUUCUUCCACAUACUUCUAUUUGUGUAUUUUUUCAUCAAAAGGAGAUUGUUUUGUUUAUUUGCAUUUCAUUAAGAAGAUCAUGGAAAAACAUACUAUGGUUUGAAGUAUUCAAGUUCAUCAAAGUUUACCAAAGUGUUUGUUUUUAUGCUGUUGUGGGGGUUAGUUAAUGAUGGUGUCUUAUUUGUUAACAUGAGAAUGUUCGUAAAUUUAUAUUAGUGAAUGCACUUAAAUUGCAGGUACAUUCUGUCAUAGAUAGUGUCUAAGGCCAUCAAUUUCCGUUAACGAGGCUUGUUGCAUGAUUUAAACAACUGCAGCUGUCCUUUAUUGUUUUUCAAGGCAAGGUCAGCAUCCUGUUCCAUUGCAACAAAAGUGUGGCAGCUAUUGUAAGAAGAACAUUAUCUUGCCCACAUGGUGUUGCUUUCUUCCUUUUUAUCCUUUGGUACAAAAAUAGACCUGUGAAAUUGUUACUAGAUGCAAUCAAGUCUGCCUGAGCACUAGUUCAGUCUGUAUGUUCUGCAGCACACACCUUAUACCAGCCUUGUGAAACAGGAGCACUGGCGUGUGACAGGGAUGUGUCCCAACAGCAACACACCCAAACCUUCUUAACCGUAAAAUUCCAUUAACAUCUCUAUAGGCUAUCAAAUACUUUCAUGAUCAAAUCAGAUUUCUUUCAGUGUAUUCAAUGUGAAUUAACUGACUAAUAUGCCUGAAUCAUGUCUCUAACCGUGUCCUUUAGACAGCAUAGAGCUGAGGGAGCUGUUUAGUUAGGUUGUUGGUAAGGAAAGGAUUGUCAUUGGAGCCAAAAAGACCAUUGGUCUUGUUCUUGUGAAGGUAUCAGAGCUGUCAGUGUAUUACUGUGUGAGGCUGUGUAGAAGGUGAUGAUGUGGUGGCAGUCCCUGCUGAAGAGUGAUACCCUGUGUUAAGACUUCAAGGGGCAGAAAUGAGACCUCUUGACUUUCACAACUUCACACCUUGGUUUAUUGCUGGAACCCUUGAGGUUCCUUGAUUAACUUUUAUAGCUUAACAUACCACUCCAUAUGUUAACAAUGUAAAUAUUGGUAUGCUGUCAGUAAGCUGUACAGCCACUCAGGUGAUAAAGAUUGUAAAACAAACAAGGUUAUACUUCAUAGUACGCUGGGAGAUUGUAUUUCUUGAAUAUAGUGUUGAGAUGAACACUAUGGCUCUACUAUAUUCGUGAAAUAUAAUUGGAAAAUAUGUGUUCUUUGUGUCUUGGGUCGACCUUGACCCAACCCCCCCCCCCCACCUCCUCAUUGAAGCACCUUACUAAGUGUCAACAUCUGAGCCGUCUAUUCCAAGCACAACCUUUCUUUAUACCCCUCAUUCCCAGCUGUCCAGUCUCCACGUGUUAGCAGCGACGUGGCACCGAACACAAUGCAACUGGCAUGUUAAGACUGUAAGACCACAGGGAAGUGGACUCCUCUUUGUCUUUGCCAAUAUCAUUCUCCAUCAAGGUCGGAUGCUAUAUUUAUGCAUCUGGCCUCCACAAGCAGUGUGAACUGAACUGGAAUUUAAAGUUUAGUCAAUGUUUCUUUUUGACUAAUACUUUUUACUAAAUGGUUUUAUCUUAACUCAAAUAAUUGAUGAUUGAUUUUAUAUUUACUGUCCCUGUUGCAGCUGUCAGACUUCAGGUGAGGGAAUAUUUAUCACCAUGUGUCAGUGAGGUAAAAGGACCUUCUUGGACAACUAAGUCACUCACUCAUUCCUCUCCCAUGUGACUUGCAGAUUCUGAUUCUGGAAUGUGGAGACAGUGAAUUACUCUCUGUCAGGCAUAAUGGUCACAGCCCACCAGAGUCCAAGUCAAGUAUUAUACCUAUAAAUGGAAUCGCUUGGUCAGACACAGAAGUCAUUGGAUGGAGCCAUGUGAUACUCUGAAUUACACUGCACAGACAGAGGGUUUGACUUUAAUAUAAUUUUGAUGAUUUAUAUGAUUUCUGUAUGUAUACGUGAAUGUCUAAGUGGAUUGCUGAAUAACAAUGUUAUAAUCGUUUUCUGUAUAUGUGGACCAGUCCAUGAUUCUGCUCAUAUGUUUGCUUGUUAGUGUGUGCCUUUAGCGCUAACAAUCAAAACAGCACUUUGUAACAAUGGUUCCAGGACUGUAUAACCUGCACAAAAGCUGUAUUACUGUACCUCACUGUAUCAGUAAUAGACCAGUAAGGCCCUCUUUUUAUGUGUGUUUUUAUGUUGGUUAUAUUACAGGAUAUUGUGUUUUUUCUAUGAUGAUCAUUAGUUUACUUUUUGUUUUCAGUCUAAAGAAAGUUUAGACCAAAGUCAGCUUUAGUAAUUAACUUUUUUUUACCUUUUCUGUAGUACUCUUUAAAGAUUGAUCAUAACAUGGCCUGUAAUAAAAA